AGAGCGAACGCUGGCGGCAGGCCUAACACAUGCAAGUCGAGCGCCCGUAGCAAUACGGGAGCGGCAGACGGGAUAGUAACACGUGGGAACGCGCCCUUCGGUUCGGAAUAACUCAGGGAAACUUGAGCUAAUACCGAAUACGCCCUUACGGGGAAAGAUUUAUUGCCGAAGGAACGGCCCGCGUCCGAUUAGCUAGUUGGUGAGGUAAUGGCUCACCAAGGCUACGAUCGGUAGCUGGUCUGAGAGGAUGACCAGCAUCACUGGGACUGAGACACGGCCCAGACUCCUACGGGAGGCAGCAGUGGGGAAUAUUGGACAAUGGGCGAAAGCCUGAUCCAGCCAUGCCGCGUGGAUGAUGAAGGCCUUAGGGUUGUAAAGUCCUUUUAACGGGGAAGAUAAUGACGGUACCGUAGAAUAAGCCCGGCUAACUUCGUGCCAGCAGCCGC
rnacentral:rRNA from 1 species